GCCACAACAGCUAACACUGUAGUGGCUAAGUUUUGGCUACAGUCCGCUGUCGCCUUGAUAUCAGCAGGAAAAUGAAAAAACUGAGCACCGGAUGGUACCG